AACACAAAAAUGGAUGUCAUGCAGUGCAUAUCGGUAGCUAAUCUGUUUAUUGCCACUGAUAACAGGAGAGGGAAACAAUUUCAUGGAAGCUAAUAUAAAUGAAGAGUCUAAAAAUUUCCCCACAGAUUUUGAGAUUCAAUGUCUUAGUAAAUCCUGCAUCAACAUCAGCAUAUAACAGUCCCUGAAACUACAGAGCAACAAGACAGUGUGUUUAGAAGACUUCUUUAAAUUUACAAAGCUAAACAGGAUCUUAAAAUCCAGGACACAACUCAUGUUCCUUAGACUUAGUGAGAAAAAUCCACUCAUACAUCUAUUAAAAGCUGGAAACUCAGACUGUCUGCAGAACCUUAUUAAUUUUUCUAAUUGCCAAGUUCAACUACAACAUUUGCCAUGAAUUUUAUAUAAAUUAUGCUCUUAUGGACAGACAGAAUAGAUAGUGAACAUAAAUUUUUAUAUAUAAUUUCAAAAUUAAAUCACAUUGUACAAGUGUCUAAACAAUGUAUGAAUUAAUAAACUAAAUUUCAUGAAUUAAUGAUAAUGUUAAUAUUAAUAAUAAAGGUUUAUCUUGUAAGUUGUUUAUUUUUGUUCUAUAAACAGUGAAAUGCGCGACUUUUUGUAUUUGCAAGAGGUCGUCGCGCGUUUUCUCCCCCGAAAAAUUUUGGCCAUGUUGACAGGUAUG